UUUUAAUAGUUAAUGUUCACAUAUUGAACCUUGGGGAAAUGGUCUUUGAAGAAGAAAAAAUGAGAAAAAAAAAGAAAACAAAAAAAAGAAUGAAAAAGAAAAUGAAAAAUAAUGAUACUAAACGUGUUAGUGGUGAUAAUAAGGGGAACACUAAAAAUAAGAGUAAUAGAUAAGGGAAUAUAUAGUGAUAUUUAAAUAAUAAUUGUAAAUUUGACA
rnacentral:lncRNA from 1 species